rnacentral:misc_RNA from 1 species
ACAGAGGUCAUUGAGCUUGUUGAUGUUCGGAUUUCCUGCCUCAUACUCUCUAAGGCAACCUUCUGCAACCCAGGAUCAGGAUCCUGAACCCUUUCGACAUACAACUCCAACUGCUGCUUCAAUGCCAGGUCCUCAUCUGACAGAUCCUCAUCCUUCUUCUCGUCCCUCUUUUUGGGGUCCUUGGAUGGCACCUUCACCGACGUCUCCUCUCUGGUGGUGCCGCUGCCACUGGCGCUGUUUGGGUCCGGAGCCAUGUGAGAACAGAAGAAUAAUUGAUUGCAGUGGUCACAGAUCUUACGGAUAUUUAACAGAGAAAAUAGCUAGCGAGACUCGACUGAGGUGCUCGAUACCUAAAGCCUAGACGAAGCAAGCUGCGAUAUAUCGCAAAGCGGC